rnacentral:rRNA from 1 species
UACGGGGGGAGCAAGCGUUGUUCGGAUUUACUGGGCGUAAAGGGCGCGCAGGCGGCCACCGCAAGUCGACUGUGAAAUCUCCGGGCUUAACCCGGAAAGGUCAGCCGAUACUGCGGGGCUAGAGUGCAGAAGGGGCAACUGGAAUUCUCGGUGUAGCGGCGAAAUGCGUAGAUAUCGAGAGGAACACCUGCGGCGAAGGCGGGUUGCUGGGCUGACACUGACGCUGAUGCGCGAAAGCUAGGGGAGCGAACGGG